rnacentral:misc_RNA from 1 species
GAAAUGCGAUAAGUAAUGUGAAUUGCAGAAUUCAGUGAAUCAUCGAAUCUUUGAACGCAAAUUGCGCCCUUUGGUAUUCCGAAGGGCAUGCCUGUUUGAGUGUCUUAUAAACCUCACCCUAAUCUUUUCAUUAAGACUAGCGGUGCUUUGGGUGUUGCCAUUGGCUCGCCUUAAAUGCCUAAGUGGAAUGCGUAAUAAGUUUUCGCAAACCCCCACUCUAAUACACUUUAUACUCUGACCUCAAAUCAGGUAGGACUACCCGCUGAACUUAA